rnacentral:lncRNA from 1 species
AGAGACCCGAGGUUGGCUGGUGCGCGCCUGGCGCCUCGCGUCUGAGCUCGGGGGGGGAGUAGAAGGUGCUGUUCGCUCCUGAAACCCCAGACCGAGUCCCUAAGAAAAUGGAUAAGAUCGCUGGGAUUGCUGGGACUCCCGAUCUUUCUCUGAACUUUAGACUUGCAUAUGGAAUAUAUAUUUAACAUCCACUUCGUUGUCCAAAGCAACCUUCCAGGCCUCUCCCCCACUGAACAAGGAAAGAAGUUUAUCCUUCCGCACCCGCCCCUUCAGCAGAGGACACCUGAGGCCCUCUUUGUCCUGGCUUCCUUACUCGUCGCAGCAAAACCUCGGCUGUGCAGCCCUCACCCAAGCCCAGGCACCUGCAGCCCCCACUGCCUGUUGCGGUGGAACCUGGAGGUCUCCUGCCCUCGCGGCCCCAGUCCUCUGCACAGUCAGCGAUCCGUUGGAAACCCAGGCUGGCCUUGAAUUGAAGCAAUCUUCCUGCCUCAGCUUGCAAAGCGCUGGGAUUACAGCUAUGUGUCAUCAUGCCUGGCGGCAGUCUUUGCAUUCUUGAUAAAAGAAUUCAGUGAAGAUACAGACAAGUGUUGUGAAAGAAAGGCAGAAUUUAUUGUAAAGUGAAGCAGUUCAUGGUGAAAGUACACCCCCAAGGGAAAGGGCAUCGAGGGCCCAGAUGGCAGUUGGGCUGAAUGAAAGUUUAAAUUUUAUUUCCAUAAUUUUGUUAGAAUAUUCUGCCUUUGCUGGUCUAUUCAAUUCUCAUUCGUCCUUUCAAAGACCCACUGAGGCUGCCCGCUGCUGCUGAAGCUUAACGCACUUGGCUUGGUGUGCAAAGUCCUAACAGCCUUAGCUGGUUCAGGCCUGACCUACCUUUGCAGUCCCGUUUCACUCUUUUUGAGCCCAACACUUAGGUUAAAAGGGAUGGACGGCAGUGCUCGGCUGAAUAAAAGCUCACUGUAGGGGCUUCUGCUGUUCUUGGACCUGGAAGCUGACCUCAAAUUCACUUUCUUUUUAAUCAGAACAUUUAUUGGUAUAUUUUAGGUAUACAUAAUGAUAACACUUAUCAUAGGGAACUUGCACCUGUACAUGAUAUAUCCUGACACUUAAAUUCACCUUCUUGUCUAAGAUUUUUCUUUUCUCUCUUUCUCCUUCCUUCCUUCUUCUGUGAGGUUGAACCUAGGGCCUUCCACAUGCUAGGUAAAUGCU